rnacentral:rRNA from 1 species
UACAGAGGGUGCAAGCGUUGUUCGGAUUUACUGGGCGUAAAGGGUGCGUAGGUGGCGCCGUAAGUCAGGUGUGAAAUCUCGGGGCUUAACUCCGAAAACUGCAUUUGAUACUGCGGUGCUUGAGGACUGGAGAGGAGACUGGAAUUUACGGUGUAGCAGUGAAAUGCGUAGAGAUCGUAAGGAAGACCAGUGGCGAAGGCGGGGUCUCUGGACAGUUCCUGACACUGAGGCACGAAGGCCAGGGGAGCAAACGGG